rnacentral:rRNA from 1 species
UACGGGGGGAGCAAGCGUUGUUCGGAUUUACUGGGCGUAAAGGGCGCGUAGGCGGUCGGGUGAGGUCGCUUGUGAAAUCUCCGGGCUUAACUCGGAACGGUCAAGUGAUACUGUCGGACUAGAGUACAGAAGGGGCAACUGGAAUUCUCGGUGUAGCGGUGAAAUGCGUAGAUAUCGAGAGGAACACCUGCGGCGAAGGCGGGUUGCUGGGCUGAUACUGACGCUGAGGCGCGAAAGCCAGGGGAGCGAACGGG